rnacentral:rRNA from 1 species
AUUGAACGCUGGCGGAAUGCUUUACACAUGCAAGUCGAACGGCAGCAUAGGUGCUUGCACCUGAUGGCGAGUGGCGAACGGGUGAGUAAUACAUCGGAACGUGCCCAGUCGUGGGGGAUAACGUAGCGAAAGUUACGCUAAUACCGCAUACGAUCUACGGAUGAAAGCGGGGGACCGUAAGGCCUCGCGCGAUUGGAGCGGCCGAUGUUAGAUUAGGUAGUUGGUGGGGUAAAGGCUCACCAAGCCGACGAUCUAUAGCUGGUCUGAGAGGAUGAUCAGCCACACUGGGACUGAGACACGGCCCAGACUCCUACGGGAGGCAGCAGUGGGGAAUUUUGGACAAUGGGCGCAAGCCUGAUCCAGCCAUUCCGCGUGCAGGACGAAGGCCUUCGGGUUGUAAACUGCUUUUGUACAGAACGAAAAGCCUUGGGUUAAUACCCUGGGGUCAUGACGGUACUGUAAGAAUAAGCACCGGCUAACUACGUA